AUUGAACGCUAGCGGGAUGCUUUACACAUGCAAGUCGAACGGCAGCGCGGACUUCGGUCUGGCGGCGAGUGGCGCACGGGUGAGUAAUGUAUCGGAACGUGCCCAGUAGCGGGGGAUAACUACGCGAAAGCGUAGCUAAUACCGCCUACGCCCUACGGGGGAAAGCAGGGGAUCGUAAGACCUUGCACUAUUGGAGCGGCCGAUAUCGGAUUAGCUAGUUGGUGAGGUAACGGCUCACCAAGGCGACGAUCCGUAGCUGGUGUGAGAGGACGACCAGCCACACUGGGACUGAGACACGGCCCAGACGCCUACGGGAGGCAGCAGUGGGGAAUUUUGGACAAUGGGGGCAACCCUGAUCCAGCCAUCCCGCGUGUGCGAUGAAGGCCUUCGGGUUGUAAAGCACUUUUGGCAGGAAAGAAACGUCGCGGGCUAAUACCCCGUGGAACUGACGGUACCUGCAGAAUAAGCACCGGCUAACUACGUG
rnacentral:rRNA from 1 species